AUACGUAGGGGGCGAGCGUUGUCCGGAAUGAUUGGGCGUAAAGGGCGCGUAGGCGGCCUGUUAAGUCUGGAGUGAAAGUCCUGUUUUCAAGAUGGGAAUUGCUUUGGAUACUGAUGUGCUUGAGUGCAGGAGAGGUUAUCGGAAUUCCCGGUGUAGCGGUGAAAUGCGUAGAGAUCGGGAGGAACACCAGUGGCGAAGGCGGGUAACAGGACGACAAUGGACGUUGAGGCUCGAAAGCGUGGGGAGCAAACAGGAUUAGAUUCCCUGGUAGUCCACGCCGUAAACGAUGAAUACUAGGUGUCGGGUUUCUAUAGAGAUUCGGUGCCGCAGCAAACGCAAUAAGUAUUCCACCUGGGGAGUACGUUCGCAAGAAUGAAACUCAAAGGAAUUGACGGGG
rnacentral:rRNA from 1 species